rnacentral:rRNA from 1 species
AACGCGAAGAACCUUACCAGACCUUGACAUGUCUGCUAUGAGCUACAGAGAUGUAGUUCUUCACUUCGGGUGGGCAGAACACAGGUGCUGCAUGGCUGUCGUCAGCUCGUGUCGUGAGAUGUUGGGUUAAGUCCCGCAACGAGCGCAACCCUCAUCUUUAGUUGCCAUCAGGUCAAGCUGGGCACUCUAAAGAAACCGCCGGUGACAAGCCGGAGGAAGGCGGGAUGACGUCAAGUCCUCAUGGCCCUUACGGUCUGGGCUACACACGUACUACAAUGGUGGUGGACAGUGGGCGUGCGAAGUCGCAAGAUAGGAGCCAAUCCCCAAAAGCCAUCUCAGUUCAGAUUGCACUCUGCAACUCGAGUGCAUGAAGUUGGAAUCGCUAGUAAUCGCAGAUCAGCACGCUGCGGUGAAUACGUUCCCGGGCCUUGUACACACCGAGUAUA